CGCCCAGGCAGGUAUCACAAUCCUGCCUUAGCUCCCAGGUGACAGUCACCCUCAAGAAAGCUUUGGGAAGCUUGGUAUCAGCUCCCAGAGGCACUCAAGAGUAUUUCCACCCUUCAGCCUGGACACAGUUUUGUUGCCUACCCCAGCUACCCAGUGAAAUGCCUACUGCUUUUCAAUGAAUAUAGGAGCUGAUGGAGGUGGUGGUUUCUUCGGUCUCUACAAUUUAAUAACAGAAGAAAACAGGCCUGUAAAUCUCAUUCAUACAGAGAUCUGUAAUGGUAAGACUGAGAAACAGUCACCAAAGUUUCUGGUAGUCCUGGAACAAUUCCUCUUCACCUGCAGGCUGGAGGACUGAUGGCUUUUCUUCUGUGCUGGUGUGUGAGAAUGCAUGCACAGCACACUGGCAGUCACCACAUGUAUGUUGGAAUGAGUGCAAAACCAAACGGAGCAUCGUGCUACAUCAAAUGACAUACUUUAUCUCUGACUUUAAAGAAACCCCAACAAACUAGCAAGAUUAUUGUAAAGAAAUUAUUAAUCACAAUCACUUUCACUACAUUGCUGGCUAUGUAGUAAUGUAUAUUGUCUUGUGGAACACAUGUGGAAUGAAAUGAUUUUUCCAGAUAUACACUGCCAAACUUCAAUCAGCCAUUUAGGCCUAAAGCCAGGAUAUGCACUUUGCUGUAGAACUGCCUUUUCAUCUCCCACAGUUUUUGCUGCUCUUCUCCUUUCCUUUUCAAUAAAUAUCAUGUUAACCUC